rfam:Oryza glaberrima chromosome 6 Oglab06_0139_4, whole genome shotgun sequence.
UGUAAGUGCAGCCAUAAAGUUUCGUGUUCAACUUUGAUCAUCUGUCUUAUUUAAUUUUUUUUUAUGAUUAGCAUUUUUAUUGUUAUUAGAUGAUGAAAUAUGAAUAGCUUAUAUUUUUUAUUUUUUUUAAAAAAAAUAAUUAAGAUGAACUAUUAAAGUUGAACAAAAAACUUAUUACUGUACUUAAA